UGUCUCCAAGCCGUGCAGGUGCAUUGAGAGGAUGUAGAAAUUCUGGAUUCAUAUCGGGCCCGUCUGCAUUUCUGCCCUCCUCCACCCAGCAUUGAGGGGAGGGCAGGGUAGAACUAAAGCAAAUGUUCUUUUCAAUCCCUGAAUAGGGGCUUGCGUACCUCAGAGGAAGACAGAACACGCACAUUUCUCUGCGUUUGUCUUUGUCUCAUCCUUAGUCUCUAGACCAUUAGCCCCUGUUGCCAUGGGAACUGAAGCUGAGUGUCUGAUGCAUUCAUUGGGCUGUGGGAGAAAAGCAGAGUUGGUCCUUGAAAUAAAGGCCCCUGGGAGAGGGGAUUCUAGCAAGGCAGUCACAUCGAAAGAAUUCACAAUUCCCACAGAGCAGGGUGGGACUCCUCUCAUGGUGUCCUGCCCUCCACACCCCAAAGUGUGAGUUCUCAUGAAGUCCAACCGGAUGCCCAUUCCCUGCAACCGGAGCACUCAACAGACCAAAGAGCACGAGGGGUAGUUUCAACUCGCCCGGGGACCCUUGUUCUUGCUCCCAGGUUCCCCAGGGCACCUUUGGUCAUGUACUUCACUCACCUCUUCUCUUUUUCACCUUCACUUCUCCCUUCUCUUCCCCCUCCCUCUUUCCUGGCUGCAUCCUUCUUUCUUAAGGCUUUACCCCAUAAAGACAAAGAAACUGGCUGAGGAGACAAAAGAAAGAAAGUAGCAGAAGCUGGUAAGGAAACAGAGACAGGGUCUCACUUGUGUUGCCAAGAGAGCUUGAGCAUCAACUGGCAGUGAGGACAGCCGGAAAGCAACCGACUUACCCCUCUCACCAGACCUUCCAACUGUCUGCCACACUGGCAUUGCCGUGUAUCCCUGCAUCUUGUUGAUCCCAUUGUGGCAUUGUGGUCAGAGAAUAUACAACUCGCUGAAGAAUCCAUUGUUUAUGGACAUUCCUGGGAUUGUAUUCAUUUAAAUAUCUUUAUGUACAUUGUAGUGAAAUAUAAUACAAAAAUGGAGUUGCAUGAAAAAUGAAGGUACCGCUCAGUAAAUGGUUCCACAGGGACAUCUGAUCCCCUACGAUCUGGGUUAAGAAAUGGUGUACUGUAUUGCUGGCAGCUCAAAAGCACUCUCAUGCCAGUCACUCUUGUCUUCCACCUCGGCCAA